rnacentral:rRNA from 1 species
UACGUAGGUGGCAAGCGUUGUCCGGAUUUACUGGGCGUAAAGGGCGCGUAGGCGGCCACCGCAAGUCGACUGUGAAAUCUCCGGGCUUAACCCGGAAAGGUCAGCCGAUACUGCGGGGCUAGAGUGCAGAAGGGGCAACUGGAAUUCUCGGUGUAGCGGUGAAAUGCGUAGAUAUCGAGAGGAACACCUGCGGCGAAGGCGGGUUGCUGGGCUGACACUGACGCUGAGGCGCGAAAGCUAGGGGAGCGAACGGGG